CCUGUCUGUCAACCCCACACACGCUUUCCCAGUUUCAUUUUAGACGUCUCCUGAAAGCUGAGCAUUUGGUAUCUUAAAGCCUCUUACCAGUUUGGAUAGAUAUGGAUCUUCCAAAAUUAAUAAGCUCCUUAAUAUCGACACUGUUUAUCAACACAAAGGAUCAAUUUAGGAAGAUUAUAAAAACUGAAGUUUCCGGAACAAUAAAUGGGAGAAUUAAUCUUCUGAAUCAAGGAUGUAUCCCUGAAUCUGGGGAGCUCUCUAUCAAAAUAUACAUGCUGGAACCCCACCAAAGGAAUAAUAAAUCUGGAAUGAGGCUCUGACUGUCUAAUUAGGAAAAGACUCCUUCCUGGAAUUCUGCACAUCUCCCUACACCUUAGUGAUGGUUAAAUAAAUAAUUAU
rnacentral:antisense_RNA from 1 species